rnacentral:tRNA from 1 species
CCGGGUUCGAGUCCCGGGCAACCCAUAUGGAAAAUAGAAA